rnacentral:rRNA from 1 species
GUCCAGAAUAGAAUUUUAGUUCAACUUUAAAUUUUCCUAAAGGACACCCAACCCUAAUGAAAGUUUAAAUGUUAUUCUAAAGAGGGACAGCUCUUUAGAAACAGGAUACAGCCUUUUAUAAAGAGUAAGUCAUUUUAAACCCAUAGUUGGCCUAAAAGCAGCCAUCAAUUAAGAAAGCGUUAAAGCUCAACAAUCAAAAUCAACUUAAUUCCUAUAUUUAAGAACGAACUCUUAUAAUCCCUUAACUGGACUAAUCUAUAAAUUUAUAGAAGAAAUAAUGCUAAUAUGAGUAACAAGAAUUCUAUUCUCCUUGCACAAGCCUAUAUCAGAUCGGAUACCCGCUGAUAGUUAACAACUAGUAAUAGAAAAACUCUACAAAUUAAUCCUCUAUUAACUUUUACUGUUGACCCAACACAGGUGUGCACUAUAGGAAAGAUUAAAAGAAGGAAAAGGAACUCGGCAAACUCUAACCCCGCCUGUUUACCAAAAACAUCACCUCUAGCAUUACUAGUAUUAGAGGCACUGCCUGCCCAGUGACAAACGUUUAACGGCCGCGGUAUCCUGACCGUGCAAAGGUAGCAUAAUCACUUGUUCCUUAAUUAGGGACUAGCAUGAAUGGCAACACGAGGGUUCAACUGUCUCUUUCUUCCAAUCAGUGAAAUUGACCUCCCCGUGAAGAGGCGGGGAUAACACAAUAAGACGAGAAGACCCUAUGGAGCUUUAAUUAUUUAAUUCAAUAUUUUCGCAAUCUCACUCCACAGGAGCUUAACCAAGAAAAUUUAUGAAUUAAAAAUUUUGGUUGGGGUGACCUCGGAGCAAAAACCAACCUCCGAAUGAUUAUAAGCCUAGACCCAACAAGUCAAAGCAUUAAAAUCAUAAAUUGACCCAAAUCCCUUUUGAUCAACGGAACAAGUUACCCUAGGGAUAACAGCGCAAUCCUAUUCUAGAGUCCCCAUCGACAAUAGGGUUUACGACCUCGAUGUUGGAUCAGGACAUCCCAAUGGUGCAACCGCUAUUAAAGGUUCGUUUGUUCAACGAUUAAAG